GUGCUCGCUUCAGCAGCACAUAUACUAAAAUUGGAACAAUACAUAGAAUAUUAGCAUGGUCCCUGAGAAAACAACAGAUGGGAUUUGGAGAAGUUACUUCAUUGUUG